rfam:Ipomoea nil DNA, scaffold: scaffold3030, cultivar: Tokyo-kokei standard.
GACUUUAUAGCCCCAUGGAUAAGGCGCUGGUCUACGAAAUCAGAGAUUCUGGGUUCGAUCCCAAGUGAAGUCG